GGACUACAGGGGUAUCUAAUCCUGUUUGCUCCCCACGCUUUCGAGACUCAGCGUCAGUAAUGGGCCAGUGUGUCGCCUUCGCCACUGGUGUUCUUCCGAAUAUCUACGAAUUUCACCUCUACACUCGGAGUUCCACACACCUCUCCCAUACUCUAGACCGCCAGUAUUGAAGGCAAUUCCGAGGUUGAGCCCCGGGCUUUCACCCCCAACUAAACGAUCCGCCUACGCUCCCUUUACGCCCAGUAAUUCCGAGCAACGCUAGCCCCCUUCGUAUUACCGCGGCUGCUGGCAC
rnacentral:rRNA from 1 species